rnacentral:rRNA from 1 species
UACGUAGGGGGCAAGCGUUGUUCGGAAUUACUGGGCGUAAAGCGCACGUAGGCGGAAUGUUAAGUCAGGGGUGAAAUCCCGGGGCUCAACCCCGGAACUGCCUUUGAUACUGGCAUUCUCGAGUCCGGAAGAGGUGAGUGGAAUUCCGAGUGUAGAGGUGAAAUUCGUAGAUAUUCGGAGGAACACCAGUGGCGAAGGCGGCUCACUGGUCCGGUACUGACGCUGAGGUGCGAAAGCGUGGGGAGCAAACAGG